rnacentral:rRNA from 1 species
GACGAACGCUGGCGGCGUGCUUAACACAUGCAAGUCGAACGGAAAGGCCUGCUUUCCCUUGUGGAUUGCGGGUACUCGAGUGGCGAACGGGUGAGUAACACGUGAGUGAUCUGCCCCCAACUUGGGUAUAAGCCUGGGAAACUGGGUCUAAUUCCCGAUAGGACUGCAGGGUGGUGCCUGUGGUGGAAAACGAUUUUCUAGUGGUUGGGGAUGAGCUCGCGGCCUAUCAGCUUGGUGGUGGGGUAAUGGCCUACCAAGGCGGCGACGGGUAGCCGGCCUGAGAGGGUGGACGGCCACAUUGGGACUGAGAUACGGCCCAGACUCCUACGGGAGGCAGGAGUGGGGAAUAUUGCACAAUGGGCGGAAGCCUGAUGCAGCGACGCCGCGUGGGGGAUGACGGCCUUCGGGUUGUAAACUCCUUUCGACCGCGAGGAAGCCACCUGGUUGGAAGGGUGGUGACGGUAGUGGUAGAAGAAGCACUGGCUAACUACGUG